CACAGAAAAUUGAAAUUUUCCAUUGCAUUAGUUAUUUAUGUUCUUUCCGUGUGAUUUCAGUAAAAAAAAAAGAGAGAAAAAAAAACUGUAAAUGUUUUGAAAAAUAUUUUCAAUACAACAGAGGGGCAAAAGAAACCAGACAAAUAUGCUAACUCAAAACUUGAAGAUAAAACGACAACACCAUGGCUAAAAAAUAAAACCAAAGACACACAGACAAAUAAGGGGACACAACAUACAACAUAUAAAACUAAUGAAUAAGCAAAUUAAUCCCCCCUUGGGGUGAUCUCAGGUGUUCCGAAAGGUGAGCAGAUCUUCUUUUACAUGUGUCACCCGUUCUGUUGUUCAUCUUAGUACAAACCGGUAACAAUUGUAGGUCACAUUUAGGAAAAGGGGACGGGAUCUUAAUUAUUGUAUCGUAUCCGCUGUCAUCUGUGAAACGGUUAUUCUAAAACGGUC
rnacentral:lncRNA from 1 species